GCCUCAUCAAUCGCUCUGGCAUCACUGAAGGCUAACUUCUUAAACCUGGGGUCAAGUGCAGCAGCUUCUGAUAGCAGACCCUUACCCAGGAGUAUCAUUUUGAAGGCUGUCACAAAGCUGAAAAGAGAGGACAGUAACUCAUUAGUUCAGUGACCUGCUCAAAGGGUUCCAGGACUCUGCAUACCUCCUCCAACACCUCCCAUUCCUCUUGGGUCAGAGCAUCAACAGGUGUAUUGACAAUGGCCAGGGUAAAGAUGAUGGCAUCCUUUGACUCAAGAAACCGCAUCAACAUAUAAAAUGUUGAAUUCCACCUUGUAGUGCAGUCUUGUUUAGGCCUCAGCUCAGGCAUCCCCAUCUGGCAUUGUGUAGAAUUUAGUUUUUCAGCACCUACAGUGCUCCUGUGGAAGUAUUCCACAGCUGCUUUCACUUUGUC
rnacentral:lncRNA from 1 species